rnacentral:rRNA from 1 species
CACGUAGGGGGCAAGCGUUGUCCGGAUUUAUUGGGCGUAAAGGGUGCGUAGGCGGCGCGGUAAGUCGGAUGUGAAAUCUUGGAGCUUAACUCCGAAACUGCAUUCGAUACUGCCGUGCUUGAGGACUGGAGAGGAGACUGGAAUUUACGGUGUAGCGGUGAAAUGCGUAGAUAUCUGGAGGAACACCGGUGGCGAAGGCGGCUCUCUGGACCGAGACUGACGCUGAGGCGCGAAAGCGUGGGAGCA